UACGGGGGGAGCAAGCGUUGUUCGGAUUUACUGGGCGUAAAGGGCGCGUAGGCGGUAGCACAAGUCAGUUGUGAAAUCUCCGGGCUUAACUCGGAAAGGUCAACUGAUACUGUGCGACUAGAGUGCAGAAGGGGCAACUGGAAUUCUCGGUGUAGCGGUGAAAUGCGUAGAUAUCAAGAGGAACACCUGAGGCGAAGGCGGGUUGCUAGGCUGAUACUGACGCUGAGGCGCGAAAGCGUGGGGAGCAAACAGG
rnacentral:rRNA from 1 species